UACGUAGGGGGCAAGCGUUGUCCGGAUUCAUUGGGCGUAAAGAGCGUGUAGGCGGCCAGGUAGGUCGGUUGUGAAAACUGGAGGCUCAACCUUCAGAGGUCGACCGAAACCAUCUGGCUAGAGUCCGGGAGAGGAGAGUGGAAUUCCUGGUGUAGCGGUGAAAUGCGCAGAUAUCAGGAAGAACACCUAUGGCGAAGGCAGCUCUCUGGGACGGUACUGACGCUGAGACGCGAAAGCGUGGGGAGCGAACAGG
rnacentral:rRNA from 1 species